rnacentral:rRNA from 1 species
AGGAAUCUGCCUGGUAGUGGGGGAUAACGUUCCGAAAGGACGCUAAUACCGCAUACGUCCUACGGGAGAAAGCAGGGACCUUCGGGCCUUGCGCUAUCAGAUGAGCCUAGGUCGGAUUAGCUAGUUGGUGAGGUAAUGGCUCACCAAGGCGACGAUCCGUAACUGGUCUGAGAGGAUGAUCAGUCACACUGGAACUGAGACACGGUCCAGACUCCUACGGGAGGCAGCAGUGGGGAAUAUUGGACAAUGGGCGAAAGCCUGAUCCAGCCAUGCCGCGUGUGUGAAGAAGGUCUUCGGAUUGUAAAGCACUUUAAGUUGGGAGGAAGGGCAGUAAGUUAAUACCUUGCUGUUUUGACGUUACCGACAGAAUAAGCACCGGCUAACUUCGUGCCAGCAGCCGCGGUAAUACGAAGGGUGCAAGCGUAAUCGGAAUUACUGGGCGUAAAGCGCGCGUAGGUGGUUCUAAGUUGGAUGUGAAAGCCCCGGGCUCAACCUGGGAACUGCAUCCAAAACUGGCGAGCUAGAGUACGGUAGAGGGUGGUGGAAUUUCCUGUGUAGCGGUGAAAUGCGUAGAUAUAGGAAGGAACACCAGUGGCGAAGGCGACCACCUGGACUGAUACUGACACUGAGGUGCGAAAGCGUGGGGAGCAAACAGGAUUAGAUACCUGGUAGUCCACGCCGUAAACGA